UCGUGCACCAUGGAUCAUAGAGGCUAAUACAACCAUGUCGGUACUUUUCUAAGAUAAACACAGAACUGUCAAGUUCUGUCCAGGUGAAGGUCAUUAAACUCAACGCAUCUAAGUCUAACUACUCUACUGCUAUAUUACAACUGAAAACUAAUAUUUCAACCUUCCUGGGAUGAAUCAAAACAGCCAGGGAUCACAAGCAUGGUGUGUUUAAAAAAAGGAAAACA
rnacentral:lncRNA from 1 species